ACUGCCAUAUCACGUUGAAACACCGGUUCCGCGUACAAUCACCGAAGUUAAGCAACGCCAAAACUGGUCAGUACCUAGAUGGGUGACUGCUUGGGAAUACCGGGUUCUGUAAG